rnacentral:rRNA from 1 species
CCAGACUCCUACGGGAGGCAGCAGUAGGGAAUCUUCGGCAAUGGACGGAAGUCUGACCGAGCAACGCCGCGUGAGUGAAGAAGGUUUUCGGAUCGUAAAGCUCUGUUGUAAGAGAAGAACGAGUGUGAGAGUGGAAAGUUCACACUGUGACGGUAUCUUACCAGAAAGGGACGGCUAACUACGUGCCAGCAGCCGCGGUAAUACGUAGGUCCCGAGCGUUGUCCGGAUUUAUUGGGCGUAAAGCGAGCGCAGGCGGUUAGAUAAGUCUGAAGUUAAAGGCUGUGGCUUAACCAUAGUACGCUUUGGAAACUGUUUAACUUGAGUGCAAGAGGGGAGAGUGGAAUUCCAUGUGUAGCGGUGAAAUGCGUAGAUAUAUGGAGGAACACCGGUGGCGAAAGCGGCUCUCUGGCUUGUAACUGACGCUGAGGCUCGAAAGCGUGGGGAGCAAACAGGAUUAGAUACCCUGGUAGUCCACGCCGUAAACGAUGAGUGCUAGGUGUUAGACC